rnacentral:rRNA from 1 species
AUUGAACGCUGGCGGCAUGCUUUACACAUGCCAGUCGAACGGCAGCGCGGGCUUCGGCCUGGCGGCGAGUGGCGAACGGGUGAGUAAUACAUCGGAACGUGCCCAGUAGUGGGGGAUAGCUCGGCGAAAGCCGGAUUAAUACCGCAUACGACCUGAGGGUGAAAGCGGGGGAUCUUCGGACCUCGCGCUAUUGGAGCGGCCGAUGGCAGAUUAGCUAGUUGGUGGGGUAAAGGCCUACCAAGGCGACGAUCUGUAGCUGGUCUGAGAGGACGACCAGCCACACUGGGACUGAGACACGGCCCAGACUCCUACGGGAGGCAGCAGUGGGGAAUUUUGGACAAUGGGCGAAAGCCUGAUCCAGCAAUGCCGCGUGUGUGAUGAAGGCCUUCGGGUUGUAAAGCACUUUUGGCGGGAACGAAAAGGACUGUGCCAAUACCACGGUUCGAUGACGGUACCCGCAGAAUAAGCACCGGCUAACUACAUG